rnacentral:rRNA from 1 species
AGCUUGCUCCGGGUACUCCGAGUGCGAACGGGUGAGUAACACGUGGGUGAUCUGCCUUGCACUUCGGGAUAAGCUUGGGAAACUGGGUCUAAUACCGGAUAGGACAGCUGUUUAGUGUCAGUUGUGGAAAGUUUUUCGGUGCAAGAUGAGCUCGCGGCCUAUCAGCUUGUUGGUGGGGUAAUGGCCUACCAAGGCGUCGACGGGUAGCCGGCCUGAGAGGGUGUACGGCCACAUUGGGACUGAGAUACGGCCCAGACUCCUACGGGAGGCAGCAGUGGGGAAUAUUGCACAAUGGGCGGAAGCCUGAUGCAGCGACGCCGCGUGGGGGAUGAAGGCCUUCGGGUUGUAAACUCCUUUCGACAGGGACGAAGCGUAAGUGACGGUACCUGUAUAAGAAGCACCGGCUAACUACGUGCCAGCAGCCGCGGUAAUACGUAGGGUGCGAGCGUUGUCCGGAAUUACUGGGCGUAAAGAGCUCGUAGGUGGUUUGUCGCGUCGUCUGUGAAAUUCCGGGGCUUAACUCCGGGCGUGCAGGCGAUACGGGCUGACUUGAGUGCUGUAGGGGAGACUGGAAUUCCUGGUGUAGCGGUGAAAUGCGCAGAUAUCAGGAGGAACACCGAUGGCGAAGGCAGGUCUCUGGGCAGUAACUGACGCUGAGGAGCGAAAGCAUGGGUAGCGAACAGGAUUAGAUACCCUGGUAGUCCAUGCCGUAAACGGUGGGCGCUAGGUGUAGGGGGCUUCCACGUCUUCUGUGCCGUAGCUAACGCAUUAAGCGCCCCGCCUGGGGAGUACGCCGCAAG